rnacentral:tRNA from 1 species
AGGAUAAUAGUUUAUAAAAAAUAUUUAAUUUGCAAUUAAAAGAAAUAUAUUUAUUUAUCUUA